rnacentral:tRNA from 1 species
GGGGGUGCGCUACAGUUGGAGAGGUAGGUUGGACUGUAAAUCCAAUGUUUCGGCUGAGUAGGUUCGAAUCCUACCACCCCCACCA